UUUGAGUAGCUUUGCAGGAUAUAUAACAUAAGUUCCCAUAAGACACCCUAACAUGUCUUAUUAUGUAUACGAUAAAAAGGGACGGCUAACGAUUUUGGCACUCGUCUUCUGUCCAUCUGCACUCCGAAUUGAAUAUUUUAUAAUUUAUUGUUUCUGCACUCACAGGUGAAGUACAAAGACUAAACGAGGAGUGUUAAAAUCAUUAGUCGGGAAAUGGACUAUAACCAACCUUGAGGUGCUUCCAGUUGCCGAGGGUGACAUAACUCGGAAACUCCCUAUCCAUAGUACUGGCGCCGACUGUGAUCUGCCACGGUGAUAUAUUCGAGACAGUACCUUCAGCCGGACCAGAAUUCCCCGCUGAGCAAACCACAACAAUGCCAUGCUUAACAGCAUGAAAAGCACCAAUUGAAACACUGUCACUGAAGAAUGUAGUAGGAUCUCCACCCAGUGAAACGGACAACACAUCAACACCGUCAUCGAUGGCCGCAUCAAAUGCAGCCAAUAUAUCUGCAUGAAAACACUUAGUUCCAUCCACUGGAGGCCAGCACACCUUAUAGGCUGCAACCCUGGCUUUUGGUGAUCCACCCUUUGCUGUUCCAUUUCCAAAGCCGAACACGCUCGCACCGGUUACAAAAUUGCCCCCAGCGGUUGACAAGGUGUGGGAGCCAUGGCCAUCGUCGUCACGCGGCGAAUUGAAAGAGGAGUUGAGGGGACCAGCAGCUGCAGCAUAGCCCUUGUUGAAGUAUCGUGCUCCAAUAAGCUUCCUUUCAUGCCAAAAAGUUUGUUACCAAAUGAGUUACAAAGUUACCACUAUAUAACAAAUCAAAAACCUUAAUUUACAAUAUGACACAUAUUUUGAAGAAUAUAAAAUCCCUCGUCACAAAGUUUUAUAGAUAAAAUGCAACUUACAAUGGGUGAUUCUACUACUAAUAGCAUCGAGACUUUUUGUAUAAAAUAUCACACCCGUUUGUAUGUAUAUGUAAUUAAAUUAAAGAUUAUACCAGUAUUGAUUAAUAGUGAACUGCUAGCAAAAUACAUUUGUUAGGGCAUUUUAGAUGAACUGAGGACUACUGCAUACAUGCAGAUCAUAAACUACAUCAAGACAACGGUCAUGUUCUGGACCUGUCUUCUCUCCCAUUAUUUUUUUUUUAUCAUAACUGAAAUUUCCAUUACGGUUAAACAAACAGAGCACAAGAGUUUUGGAGGAGCAAAGGGAAGCCUCAUUAAAAAGCUCCAAAGAAGAGGGAAAAAGAGUGCUUCACCAACUUGCUCACCACUUAAUUACAAUUAGGGACAAAGAGUGCUUCUCCCAUUAUUAAAACAUAAUUUGUUUGCUUAAUCUAAAGAAAUCGUUGUAUAGUAUGGACAAUGUUAGGGAGACUAAAUGUAGGGGCUAAAUUUUAUAAACUAAAUGAUGUGAAAGUUGAUAAUGAGAUUAUUACUUAAGUGUUAAUUAACGUGCUUAUUUCUUAUUGAUGAUACAUAAUUUAGUUUGCGAAUUUAGUCUAUCUAACAUUACUCUUAUAAUGUAUAUGUUUUCUUUUACCGUCUUUCUUUGGACUACAAGCAGUGAAAGUGUAAUAGAAUAGUGACUAGAAGUUGGAUUUUUGAUGAAGUAUUUGACUACAAUAGCUUGGUUAAUUUAUUGUCCUAUAGAAUAUGUCUUUUUCAAAUAUUAAGCAAGUUCAUUUGGGAAGGUAUCAGUGGUCUUACCCAAGUCAAAAGAGCAGGAAGAGGCAUAAUAGCCAUCAACCGGAAGCAGUGCAGAAAUAGGAGAGCUUGUCUCAGCAAGUAAUUGGGAUUGCCGAUGAGGAAAGAGUACACACCUCUUAUUUUUUGGUGGAUCGAAUAAAUUCAAGAAGAUUAAUAAACAAAACUAACAAAGAUGUGUUAAAGAUAACACUACUCGUUUUCCUACUACCACUAAUAUAAUAUUCACAUCCAACUUAACGGAUGUAUGAGACUGUUCCAAAAAUAAGACUUGAGGUAUGACUCUGAGAUGAAAAAAAUUUCAUGUACCAAAUGUUGAAAACCACGAAACUUCAGGAUAGUAAACUGAGAUUAACCUUAAAAAAAAUUGUGAAUAACACUAUCCGUUUUCCUACUACCAAUAAUAUAAUAUUCACAAAUAUUUUUGUAAUCCACUAUGCCACAAUAAAACUACAUCAUCUUAAUUGAGCUAACCAUCAAAGACCUCCUCUAGACCACAUGCUAGUGCGGGAUUUUGUAAACUUUUAAAUAAGAUAAUUGAUUAGAAAUUUAGAUGUAGUUUUCAAAUAUGAAAAUAAUUAACAAAAAAUGAAUCAAAUUAUAAUCUUAUUACAUGCAUCUCAAUUUAUUUGCAGUUCUAGGUUUCUAGAAUAAGAAUGGCCGCAACUUUAUGAGAAAGUCUCGUACGAAUCCUGCUUUAUAGAUGCCAUUUGCUCCGCUACAAAAGGGGAUAACCUUGGUUGGAUUGGACCAUCCAAGUUUAAGAUAAACUGGGACUGAUUACACAGAACAAAGAAGAAUAUCUCUUUUUUUUUUUUUUUCUUUUCCAAUUUUAACACUCGCGUUUUAACAAUAAAUAUAUAUUUAUUUUAAUUUUUAUAAAGCGAUAUUCUAAAUUACUUUAAUUUAAGAGAUAUGAAUUUAAACUCGAACGCAAGAGACAUUGACACACUACAGUGCCUAACUCACAUAUGUAUCAACGAGCGUAUUUUGUUUAACUUAUACCAAGAUACUUUUUUAACAUUUGAUUCUUAAUGUUGUAGAAAAGGAAACAGAAAGUAAACUAAUCUCAAUUAGAAAAUAAUCAUAAAAUAGUGGGUACCUGUUGCAGUGAAAUUCAGAAUCUAUCUCAUUUUGGCAGAUUCCUUUCCACUUGGAUGGAAUCGGUCCAUACCCUUCAUCACUAAAGCUCUUGGAUUCUGGCCAUGCGCCUACAACCCCAUUCAAGAACACUAGGGUUACCAAUGCUCCUUACAAAACAAUCGAAACUCUUUUUUUGUGUGAAAUAUUUUUAAAAUCCAGCUAAAAAAAGGUACCAAUAUUGCAAUAAGGACAGUCGAGUGCAAGUCUAGGGGUUUUUUUUCCCUCUUCAAAUGAGAAAUUUGAAAGUCUCUGAUUAUAUAUGGGAAGAUUUUUCAGUGAGCUCGGAAUACGGAGCGAUACGAUAUGUUAUUAUACAAUCGAAGAGACACUUAAAAUAAAUAAAAAAAACUACAUUUCAAUUGUAUGAUGACAUGUGUUGUACUGUCUCGUAUUUUGGACACACCGAAAAAUUUCUCCUAUAUAUAGGGGUUUUUGGGUACUUAAUUGUGAAAAACGAUGCGUUAAUAAAUUAAGAGGGAGCUAGGCAAAUGCUAAGAAUUAGCUAGUUGUUAUACAACAAUAUGUUUACAAAAAAUGACCAUAAUUAUAUUAAUGCGAAAAUAAAUUGAUAUCCAAAUCAUUGUCUAUGAGUGAAAAUAAAUACAAUUGCACAAGUUGUUAAAAUUAUACUAAUGGUGGUCCAAAAGACCAAAACUACAAAAAGACCAUAAUUAGAGUUAAACCGUCUUGAGGGAAGCCUUAGAAGCUUUGUUUAAAAAAGAAUUAUAUUGCUAUUCGAUACUACGCUAUAGUGAUAUUCCUUUUCACUUGGAAAUGAGAUAUUUUAGGCUCGAUUCUUGCCAAAGGCGAGUAUGAACCACAUUAUUGCUAGUACAUUGUAAGGUUAAGCCCAUCCAAAAAGAAGUUUUGAACCAACAACGUAUGAGUAAUUAAAACACUGAAUAAACCGGAUACCACGGUCACCACAUGCAAAGUUAACAAUACUAGCUAAUAAUUAAUUUUAGAAGGAGUUGCCUCCCUAAAUGUUUUGUCAUAUACAUGUACGUGUAUUAGUGGAAGAAUAAAUUGGUCAAAUAUAUCAGCACGAAACUAAUUGGUCAAAUAAAUCAGCAAGAAAUUUGUUUUUAAAAUUUAAAAAAAAAAGCAAAGAACAAGAUAAACCUACCAGUAUCAAGGUUUCCUAUGAUUGAAUCUUCACCGUAUCUUGCCUUCUUCCAGAUUGAAUUGGGUGAAACAACACCAUCUUGCUCAAGUCCCAAGAAAUCCCACGAUCGAGUGUGUGUAAUUUUCUUCCCUGGUUCAAGAAUACUGAGACUACCUUUGGAUGCUCUACAGUGUUUCAAUGGCAGCAUAAGAAAAGAGAAAACUGAGGAGAAAGAAAAACAAAGAGAAAACUUAGGAAAAAAAGAAAUAGCAGAAAUAAAAUUCUCACUAGCAAUCUGAGCUGCCUCUUCUUCUUCUAGUGUAGCAGCAAAGCCAUUGAUGUGCCUUGUGUAUGAGUAAAACAUGGAUUCUUUUGCAACUUCAUGGCUGCAUUUUUGCAGAAAAAGCUCAAACAUUUGAUCGGCUAAAGACGGUGUUUAUGUAUUUUAGUUGGAAAUAUGUGUUUAAGUACCUGCCCAAGAAGGAACCAAGAAACUCAUGGUGAUUGUCUGUGACUUGGUUUAGUUCAAGUUCUGACAAGUUUGGGGGAUGUGAGUGUGAUCCCAGGUAUACCACAUAUGACUGCAGAAACAGUAGAAAGAACCCAAAAAAAAAAAAAGAAAAAAUCGUCACAAGUACUAGUGAAAUGCAAGGGAAGGUACUUUGCUUUUUUGUUGUUGCAGUUUUUAAUGGAGGGAGACGAGAAUGAAUGCUUACCUUUUUUAUGGCAAAGGUGGGGGUAUGGAGUACUAGAGAGGAGAGAAGGAAGGAGAGGAGGUAAAGGGCUGCGGUUGGUGGACUCAUUGCCUGGCUCAUUGACCCUUGUUUUCCUGCCUUUUGUGGAACACAAACUUUGGUUUUUAUGGUUUUUUUUCAGACUUCCAAUAUAUGUUGGAGAAAGAAGCUGGCCAACUUGAGAUAUGCAAUGCCCGAUGUGGUAUGGUAUUAGCCUAACUGGAUAAUGUAAAUUUAAGAGAAGGAGAAGAAAGAAUGCUAUUUAUACUUGAUAGAGUGAAUAAACAGUGCAGGAGAGAAGAACAGUUAAUAUAGGAAGAGAUAAUGCAUAUUUGACCUAGGGUUAGGUGUUGAUACAUUUAAACGAUAUAAAUUAAAAUAAAACAAAAAAUAAACAGUUAGAGAAAGUGGUGAUUGAUAAGGUAAUAGUGGGGAUUAGGAUUAGGGUAUUAAAUAAUUAAAUCUUAUUGACAAUAGGGGCGGUUGUUUCCCCUACUAGUUAUUAAAAUUAAUAGCUGGAAAUUAUUCCCAUAUUAAGGGCUGAUUUAAACGCCCCUAAUAGAACUAAUAGGGGCAAAUAAUAAUUCUGCAUCUAAUAGAGGCGAAUUCUUCCAUUUGCCCCUAGUUGAUCGCAUCUAAUAAUCAUUUUUCUUGUAGUGGCACUACAAAACUUAGAACAAGUAGAGGCUAAAACAUUUGCAUCUAUUAGUUAAAAAUAGGGGCAAAAAAUGAAGAUUUCUGCACUUAAUAGUAAGGAGGGGCGGAUAUUAAAUUUGCACCUAAAAAAGGCGUUGCUAUUGAUAAAUAGAGACAAAAGGGUACAUAUUUCUGCCCCUAAUAGUUAUUAUGCCAUGUAGGCAAGUGCAACAUGGAAAAAACAUUUGUUCCUAUCCACUACACGAAUCUCGAAAUUGAAACUCAUCUAACGGUGAUAAAUAAGAUGGUAAGCAUACACCACACUAAAUGGUGGUGAGCAAAAAUGCUCCCGAUUAUUAAGGCCCCUACUUUAAUAUUUGUAUUUAAUUGAGUUUUUAUGUCAUAUUGCAUUUUGGAAAUUGUUUUAAUUGAGAAACGAUUUCCAUUCCACCAUUAAUAUUAUUUGAUACGUAUUCUCACAUUUUCAAAGUCUAAGUAUAUUUAUAAUUCUUUUUAGUUCUUCAAAAAUUAUUAUUCAAAACUAAUAUCAUCACCAACCCGGAUGAAGAAACAAGAACCAUUGCCAACAAAUUAAUAUUUAAGUUACAUUCUUCAACUGAUUAGAUACAAAUGUUACAUGAUAGGAGUGCGAUGAAUACAUACAAAUCCACCCCAGUACAUAAGGUUCUCUAGAAGUUCUCUCCAAAUCUAAAUCUAAUCAAAGACUUAAUCCCUUGAUUCAAACACAUAACAUGAUUAAAAGUCUGUCUUCAAUCUCCCCUUGAUGCAUAUGAAAAGUAUGUGUUCCAUAUCUCCUUGAUAAUCAAAGAAGCCGGCCAAUUUGGGAUAUGCAAUGCGGUUGGUGGAUGUCGUAUACGACGUAUAGUAUUAAGCCUAACUGGAUAAUGUAAAUUUAAUAUGUAUCUAGAUAUAUUGAGUAAAAUGAGGAGUUUUCAUAUUUCAAAGAAGGGCACAAGGUCAAUGAUUCCAUAUACACCUUAACGGCCAAAUCAUUACACGAUUAUUUGUAGGCAUGAGUGCCUGACUGAUAUGACAUAAAUUUGUAAUAUAAUAUUUAAAAUUAGACAAGCAUAUUAUGACAUAAUUACUAAUUUAUAAUACUAUGUGCUCUGUUGACCGUCAAAGCAGAAGCUUCUGCAAUAUAUAUUUGGAGGGUCAAAGCAGAAGCUUCCAUCUCAAAUCAGAACUUUUCUUGGUGGCCUAAGCAUUUAGCACAAAACCAGAUGCAACCUGAACAUCCAUGUUUGGGAAUUCCUGAUGUCCAAAAAAUUUAAAAAAAAAACUAAUGAAAAUAUUUUGAAAACUUUGAGUUUUAACGAUUAAAACAAAAUAAAUGGUAAAAUGAAUAGUACCAUGAUUGACUUUCUAGUGUAAAAAUGUGGUUUUUCGUUAAAGUGAACAGUACCGAGAAUUUUUCGUUAAAGUUCACAAAAAUUUAAGCAUUUAGAAAAGAAAUAACAAAAUAAACAACUUAUUGACUUCAGUACCUUUGAGAUUUUUAUAUAAUUGAAACCGUGUGAGAUGACUAUGUUUGACGUUGGGCCCACAUUACCCGUAAACCUGUGUCUCAUCAACGUGAAAUCACAUGCCAUGCUUGAAUUUGGUAAUAAGAAAGAAAAUACAUGACUCAGCCAAAAGAACAGCCAAAGAGAAGAAGAAAAAACCUCUGCAAGACGUAACCAUGAUAACUGAGAAGAAUUUUGUAAUGGCCAUUCUUAAUCUCAAAAUGAUCAACUUUCCGUAGCUGUUGAAAUCACAGGUCUCUUAGUGACAAUAGACAUUUUGUUUCGUGUCUGAAAAGUCAUAUCAUGAAUAGAAAUAACCUGCAAAUCAUGACAAAUAAUCCUGCAAACAUGUUCUUGUCUUGAGAUGAUGUUGAAAUAAAGAUAUAGUAUCAGCGCAACCUGGUUCUCCUUUCAACUUGCGUGAAAGUAAUUGCUUAAGCUUUUUACAUCUCUGUCCAAAGCUUUAAGCUCCUGCCUCAUUGUGCUUACAUUAUCACAGGAAGCCUGGCAAUAAAAAGGAAUAUAUAAACAAAAAUCAUGACCUGAAACUGGGUUAUCUUCACAUAAUUAUUUUUUGUAAUAUCUAUGAGCUGAACUGGUUGUUUGAGAAAGGCAAAGGAAGAAGAACUGUUUUCUUAUGCUGUAUUCAUCUUAUAUAAUCUUCUGGGGCGUUUAUAACAGAAACCUGAUUAAUAUAUUCCCAAUAGAGUAGGGUCUGCCUAGUAAAUAAAAUCACAUUUCUAUCGCAAAUACAAAAUCUCAUGCAUUUAAAAAUAAAUAAAUAAAGAAUCAUUUACCUUGCUUUGGAGUUACAAUAGAUUUCUCUAGUUUACAAUCUUUGUAACAGUUUUCUUAAGUGUUUAAAAUCCUUUUGUUAAAAAUUAGAGGAAAACCAGAACAGAUAAUUUGGCAAGACCAGACAGAUAACAUGGCAAGAACAAUACUGAAGCUACGAUUGCAGGGACAAGACAAUGGUAAAUGGAUCACCAAUCUUAGAAUUGAUGAUUACCUCUUGUUCACCCUCAGAAUUAACUAAAGAGGAUUGACUAUGAUUAUCAUCAACAUGAGUCUCCCAUUCACUAGGUUCAGACUGACAACGGAUGUAAUUUAAUUUCAGCAUCUGAGACUUCUGAAUUGCAGAGCUUAAGAGCUGUACUCUACUCUGCAGGCAAGUAUAAGUCCAGGUGACAAACUGUAUGCAUAUCCGGAGAUGAAAAACAUAAGAGAGCCAACCUUAAUUAAUUAUUUUUUUUAAAAUACAAACCUGUCAUUUUUCACGCUUCACUUGCAUUAAAUGCAAUUUUGCCUUUUCAUACACUAUUUUAUAAAGCAGCAGUCUUGCUUCAGCUACUCUGCAAAGGUUAAUGUCAAUGCUUAUCAAGCUAAACCGCAUUCUUGGACACGUAAGAAUCUAAACUACAUAAUCAUAACAGGCAUGAUGAAAGACACCACCUUUUAUGCCCAACAUUGAGGCAGUCGAACUUCUGUACACAUUAAAUACCAGUGUUAGCAUAAAAAUUGAUAGUGUAGAUGCUCUAUAGAUUUAAAGAAUGCAAUGUGGUCCGACUAUACUAUGUAAACAUGUCCGUAACAGACCCUGAUUGAUCAUUUAAUUCAGCAUAUGUGAGACUGGACUUCAAUAGGUGGACCAGCAUAUCUUCCAGCACACCAAUCUACUUGAUCAUGAUAAAACAGCAAUGUGAACCAACAUGAGACACAUAACAAACUUAAGCAUAAGAUGGUUAAUUCUAUCACCCAGAUUAGAUUUUUCUUGGGAGAAAGUAAUAAUAAAAGAAAGGGAUAUACCGCUCUUAAAUUUAGUUUGCUUGCCAAUCGAGAUUCUGUAUCUCCUGAGAAUUUUACUAAAAUCUGCAAGAAGGAAAUCUGAAGAAAAUAGCAUAUCUGCCAGAGAACCUGGCUAUUCAAGUGGACUAAAACAAAACAAGAAAUAGUACACAAAUCAGUCCAGCACUGCCAUGUUGUAUCACCCCCACACUUCUGUCUGUCAUCGUAACGUUUAUUUGACUGAUGCAGCAUGAACUCUGGAUUGCAGUUCUCAAUUCUGGGAACUUUUGGACUUUUCUGGAUUCUGGGGAUCGUAUUUGUACAGUAUCCAUCCUCAGAGAUUAUUCCUAGGUUUUGUCGUUUCUGUCCGACAGAAUUCUCUGAAUCUUUCCCUGUAAACGGAUUUUGUGAAAUAUGCAGUCCCUGAUAACAACCAUCACUAGGAUGACUAUUUGAAUUGGACUCAUGAUAUACUAGGUCCUUCCCAGCAAAGGGUUGCACAUUCUCAGUGUCUGCUGCACAAGAUAAAUCCAGUCUGGAGGGGCUAUUUGUUGACUCUUUUCUUGAGGGAAUCCGAUUCAUAUCUUUUAUGAAGGGACUACGAAUUGGCUCUUUCACAGUAGGACUUCGAAUUGGGUCUCUCACGAUUGGACUUCGAGUUAGCUCUUUCACAAAGGGACUUCGAAUUGGUUCUUUUCCAGGACUCUGAGUAAGUUCUUUUCUGGGAGGACUCAGAGUUGAUUCUUUCCUGCAGGGACUCUGACUUGGCGCUUUCCUGAGGGAACUCUGAAUUGCCUUUCUCCCGGUAGAGUUGAGAGUUGGAUUCUCCUGGGGUGGACUCUGAAUUGGCCCUUUCAUGGAGGGGUUCUCAGCUGACUCUUUACUGGAAGGGCUCUGCAUUGACCAUUUCCAGAACAAAAUGUCAAAUCCCUAAGCAACAACAGAACAAGUAAUGAUAUUUCUAAAUAGAACAGCCUAGUAUUUAACGGCAGCCAACUAAUGGAUGUGAAACCGUAUAUAAAGAUGUUUUCAAAUUUGAGCAAACAUUAGCCCAACACCCAGCCAACUGUGUUUAAAAAGGGCAUGGAAUGCACAAGCGAAGCAAAGUUGUAUGGUAUAAAAAAUAGGCCCAGCAUCCAUGUUCUUUUAAAAAUUGAGCAAAUACAUGGAGACUGACAUGAAGGUAUGGUUCAGUUGUGCUGCUGCAGACAUAUGGUUUAGAAUGCAUUGGUUCUGCUCCACCUUGAAUGCUUUUAUCUGGGCUGUUCAGAAUGACUGCACCUCUUGAAGGUGAUUGGAAGUUCUUUUCAGAUUCAAUUUGCAGAUGGGGAGGAUUAUCUUCUUGCUCACCUGCCAAUAGGGAAUCAGUCCCAGAAGAAAUUAAUGCUCCUUCUGUGGGAGACAUGAGAUGCUGUGUCAUUUUGCUUCCUGAUAAUGACAGCUGAGAGGGUGAAACCACUGCGUUUCUUCGUGUACCAUACGCAUCCUUCAAAGGAGUGUAUGUAAACAUGCUAUGCUGAGGCUCUUCAACUUUAUCACGGUCUGUGGUCUCGUUAACCUGGCUCAACAUACUGGUGUUGAUUGAGUUCUCAUUUCCAUUGCUAUUCAUGUUAAAUAAGCUUUUCUGUCCUUCGUUGAGAUCAGGCAUAGCUGUUUGCUUCUCUAAACAAGCAGUAGGAGAAUUGGAAAAUUUGCAUUGGAGAUCUCUGUCAAUGUCAGCCAUAACAUUCUUUAAGGGAGAAUUCACAGAUGAGUAACUUGAUAAACUACAUUUUAAUUUUUCCAUUCCAUCGUUGACGAUAGAAGCACAGGGAGAAGGCUCAGGAAGCGUGAACCUAGAAAUGCUUUUCUAAAUUGAUGAAACCCACUUAUUAUGUUUUGUGUGUUCUGCACUUAAAAAGGUACCUGGUUGUUUUGAGGAUGGAGUUUCGACUAGAAUGCAAGUACAAAUAUUGCAUCAAUUAUGCAUACUAAACAGUUGGCAAGAAUAGGACCAGUCAUUAACUGUCAAGCAUAAUAAAAGACAUUUUUUUUUAUCUGGAUCCAAUGGAAUAACGUCGAAUUGUGUAUUUCAGUAUGGAACAAGUUGACUCUGGAUAUGCAACCACAAAAUAAUGUGUUAAAAUUAAAAAUGUACAUAAUGUAAUAACUAGACUGCUAGACGAAUAUUUGUGGCAAUGAGACUAUCAUAAUAGUCUCCAACAAAGCCGUGGCCAUUUACUCCAGGUGUUCGACCAAACUAUCAUGGUCGACCAGAAGACUGAAAACUAAAAUUUCAGCUUCUGUUGUACAAUCCAAUAUCCAAAUAUCCAAGUUCCUAAUUUUCCACUGUCAUUACCUUCAUUCUCACAUCCCAUUUUAUUAAAGAACCCAACCAUUGAAAAUUUCAGUGUCUGUUUACCACAACCACAAAAUCCAUUUCAGUAAACAACAAAAGCUAUAAGAUGUUUGAGCCAUUAAGGGAAUUAAUUUUUGAAAUACAUAAAAUCAUAUGCACUGGGCCACUGGUAGAACUUUUUGGUUCAAGAGCUUACAACAAUGCAACCACCCUCAGAACAACAACUAAAACGUCCAUCAUCAAAUCUACUAAUGUAAAAUACCGAAUGUAUGAGAUCAAACCACACCGGCAACAGUUCUAUCAAAAUCUUGAUUGCAAGAGACAUUCUUACAUUGUUUAAUUGAUUCUGGGUCUGGAUUUGGCCAUCACCAGAAUCACUAGCAGCUGAAUUAUGAUUUCCGUUAGAUGAGGCAUCGUAAGCAGUCUGAUGAAGAUAACCACCAUUUGACUCACUCAACUUGAUACGAGAAACAGAUUCUACCUCAGUAGACAAGUCAUUGGUGCCGAAAUUGCCCAUUUCAGUAGUUCUACCAUUUCUCAUGUGGCCAAUCCCAUUUUCAUCUGAUGCAGAUACCUCACCCCCGUUCGGUGCCAUUGAAGUGGCAGGGACGGCAACUGAGUCAGCAUGCAUAUCCUUGCUGCCAGCUGCAAGAAGUGCAUCUAAUAUUGGAGAUAAUCUACCAUAAUCAUACUUAUGUGGAUUUUCUUCUAUGAUACUCAUGUCAUUUGAAUCUUCCCCACUUCUGACCUUAUCAGCAGGGACAGAAGACUGAAGGGUAACCAUCUUCGGUUUUGUUAAAGACAUGAGGCUUCCAGAAUCAGUAACAUUGGUAUUAUGGGUUGGUGUCUUCUCUUCAAAGACAAGGCGAACCGCCGUUGGGGUCUUGAGAUCUCCUCCGGAGUCUGACCUUGCAAGACUAUGGUAAUGCAUUGAAAAUUGUCUGUUGCAAAAACAAACCAUAAAAUGCGGUAUAAUUUUCGACUAAGACAUAUGAAAUUUACACACUCAGCGAAAUUACUACCUAACACAAACAACAAGAUAAGCUAUGCAGUUACAAAUUCAAUUACCGGCAUCCCUUUCGAGUAAUUUAAAGUACAGUAAUAUAAAGCACCAAUUACAUAAGCCAUUAAGUACUAACAUCCUAUAAAGAAUCUUCCUUUACUUUCCUAAUUGUGUAUUAAUUACUAAUUAAUCAAAAAUAAGAUAAAAUUUAGGGGCACUUUGGAUGCGGUCCGUAUUUAUCAAUAUUCUUUGAUUGAAACCUUGUUAGUUUUUAGUUUUUGAUUGAGAUCCCUGAUAUUAAUGUAAUAAUGUAAGUUACUAUAUUUUUUUAAUUAAAAAUUAAAAAUUGAAAAUUUUAAUUGUUUAUAUUAAUGAGAUUUUAAAUAAAACCCAUAAUUUAUGGGAUUAAAAAUAAUAAAAUAUAAAUUAUUCUCUCUAUUAUAUUGUGUGUGUACAUUAACCAAAAUUAACAAAAAAAGUUAUUGUACCAAAACAUGGAUACAUUCUCAAAUUAACGAAAAAGAAUGUACCCAUAUAAGUUUAAACAUGGAUUAAAAAAUUUGAAUGGAUUUUAUAUUAAAAAAUGGUACAUUUUACAUAUAACAAAUUGAUAUAUUUGAGAAGAAUGAAUACAUUUAAGAUUAAAAAAAUUGAAAAAUUAUAUGAAUUGGUACAUUUAAGAUUAAAAAAUUGAAAAUCUUUUUAUAUAUAAAAAAAAACUAAUAGGUACAUAAUUUAAUUUAAUUUUUUAUUAUUUUGGAAAUGUUUGAAUUGAAAAUUAAUUAGAAGUUUAAUAAAGGUGUAAGUAUUAAACCCUAAAUUAAUUACUAAUUUUUAUAUUAAAAAAAUUAUAUAAUAAACAUGUAAAUUCAUUAUCACAUUAAUGCUAAGGACUUGAAUCAAAAUUUGAGAACUUAAGUUAGUCAAUAAACAGUAAAAACUAGGGGACGGAUACUAAUUUUUCCUCAAAUUUAUAGCUUACCGUCAUUAGAGGUAGCAGAGCACGGAACACUACUCCCAGGAGAGGGCGAUCCAAUUGGCCUGAAAAACGACUUUCUCCCGUCGUCGUUUUCGUCAUCGUCAUCGGAAUCCCUAAAAUCGUCGCUGUCACCGCCCAAGUCCCUAAAAAACCCUAUCACCGGGUUCUCGGCCUGUUCGAAGUCUUUUUGAGAGCUGGCUUGGGCUUGGGGUCGGGAGGUAUGUCGUAGUCCUCGUCGCUGUUGAAGAUGUGGACGGAGGUGAUCUCUGUGCUCACGCGGCGGGAGCGCUUCCCCUUGAUUCUUAGGGCUAUUGUUCCGGUUCGGUCUCGGAGUUGCAGGGCUCAUCUGGGGCGUUGGAGGCCAUCGGAAAUGGAGGAAUCGGAGAGGGAGAUUGGGAAAAUUAGGGUUUGCAGUUUGAAUUUGGUCGGAGUAGUGCGCUGUGUGUGUCAGUCCCUGUUGGACAGUGGAGCGGGGGAGAGAGAGAGAGAGAGAGAGAGAGAGAGAGAAUGGAGGGAAAAUUAUUUUAAUGGUUUAAAAAUGUUUUAUUUAUUUACGACGGGUCGUUUGAUUCGUUUCUGUUUUGAAUUUUCAUUUUUCUAGUUUUUGAAUAAUUGCAAUUUUGUCCCUCGAGCAUUUUGUUUUAAUUUGUCUUGAUUUAGUGGUAAUUCUUUCUUCCAAAUUUCCAACGAUAGAAGGAAUCUCAUGUUCAUAAUUAGUCUACAUAAUUUAAUGGCAUAAUUUCCCCUUGCAAGUGUGCGGUUUUAAUUUUGACUCAUAUAGAUAGUGAAUUCAAUAUCUAAUUUUUAUUGCUGGCUUAUUAUGUGACUUGAAUUAAAUUCCUUCAAAAUCCAACUUCACAUCACACGACAAAACCAGGUUCUACAAAAAUGAUGACUUAUAAGUUGGACUAAAUGAUUGAUAUUUUAUAUCAGCAUAUGAUCCAGUCACUAAAUACUAAUAAAUAAGUGAGAGUCGUCUCAAUAAAAAGAAAUGACUACCAUCAAAGCUAGUGUUUUAAAAGUGAGUCAACGACAUAAGUUUCGUGCAUGUAAAUGGGAUGGUAUGUAAGAUCAGUCAUAUGUCAUGCUCGCCUUGCAUCAUCAUCUUUACUUCCUCCCAAGCCGCUGCAAGUAUAUAUGCAAGUAAUGAGCUCAGAAAAUGCAAAUAAGGGGGAGGAUUGCCUGGGAUGGGCUCGAUUUCGAUUAAUAUCAACUAAUUAACAAUUUGCAUGCUAAAUGUAAUGCUUAAUUAGAGGUUAAUUUGUUAAUGAAUUUAGGGCUGUUGGGACUCUUGGGAGUGGUGAUUUUUCCACAAAAAUAACAUACCGUGGAGUUUGCUAUGCUGAAGUGGUUUGGACAAGGAACAAAGAUGGAGAUGCCACCUACCCUCUAGUGCCUGGGCACGGAUAUAUGUUCAUCCAUUAACUCAUGAUUUUAUUUUUGUCAUAUGAUUAAUUCUUAAUUAACUACUGCUUAAUGUACAAAUUAUAGACAUGAGAUUGCCGAGGUCGGUCCGAAUAAUGUUCUUGGAUUCAAAGUUGGUGAUCAUGUCGGAGUUGGAACUCAUAUUAAUUCAUGCAGAAGUUGUGAUUAUUGUAACGACAUCCUUUAAGUUUAAUGUGAAGGACUUGUUUACACUUACAACCGUCUCGACGUCGAUGGUACCAUGACGAAGGGUGGAUUUUCCACUUACAUUGUUGUCCAUGAAAUGUGUUGUGUCGCCUCACGAGAAGUGUUUAAUUUGAUAGUUAUACCAACCCAUAGUGUUACUAAUUAAUCAGCAUGUUGCAAUGUUCCAUAUUUAUUGCUCUUUGUUAAUUAAAAUGCUAGGUGGCGCAAUCUGAAUGGGUAACAAUUACAGAAAAAAAAGAAGAAGUUAGGGUUGGUCUUUGACUUUGUCCGGUGGGAGUUGGAGAGAGAACCUCAUUUUCUCUGUUUAUAACUUCAACGAGCCUUAACCCCUAAGCGCAACUCGACCAUGUUUAGGUGAGUUUAAGCCUUCCCACUAGGCAGAGGCGUUUCCACCAACGCCACGCCUCCAAAGCCGGCUAGGCGCACCCCGAGCCGCAUUUUUUAAAACACUGAUUCCUUUCAACAGAAAUUCAAAUGAGUAAUAACAUUAGUAGUCAUAUAUAAGUGAUCAGUUGAUCUUAAUUUUCAUGAAAAUAAUUUUUUGUAAAUCAUUAGCUUAGUGCACAAGAACGUGGAACAAAUUGAGGUGAAGUAAAAUAAGCUAAAGCAAUUUGCCUACUUCUAGCUUAGGAAGCUUUGACUACAAUUGGACUCCUCACAUAGUGUUUACCAUCUGACCAUAUCAACUUCCCAAACACAUAGUUUUUAGCUUGGUUUGCUUCUUUAACCUGCAGGAGUACCUUAAAGCUCUUCUCUUCACCAAUUUUCAUGAACUUCAACUUCUUUGGCUCGACAGAAAUCGAUACCCCAUCCGGGCUUUGGAUAUUCGCCUUAUAUGUUCCUGGAGAGCCAACAUUUUUCACUGUUCUAGUCACCUCAAGGGAUCCAGAGAGUUUAGGGACAGUGAUUGAGGGGUAGUUGAGGUUAGUGGGACUAAUAGCUGGUUUGGGGCACUCAUACGUAUCCUCUGAAAACAUUUCCAUUUCUGUUUCGUUGUAGCCCAUUGCGCACAGGAAGUUCAAGUAAUCGUUAUGGGAUAAAUCGUAUACCAAUCCAGGAUCCAUAGCACUGUUUGGGUUAACAUGUCCUGCGCCGUAACUAAAUGGUGUUGCCUCAUAGAAAGAAGCAUUGAGCAAUGGUUCCAUGCUGUUAUCUCGUGUUAUCGCUGUGUAACACAGGAUUUGAAAGAAAAUAUCAGAAAGACGAGUAAUGGUCUCUUGACAGACGUUAAUGUGAAGCGAAUACAUAAACGACUGUGCGUAGGGACUUCUUACCGGUGGUCAUGAUUGCAGAUUUAAUGGCUGCAGGACUCCAAUGAGGAUAGAGGGUUUUAAGAAGGCCACAAAUGCCGGAAAUAUGUGGACAUGACAUUGAAGUGCCUGACACUGAGUUGAAUGGAAUUCGCCGUUUGUCAAACAUUUGAUUUGUUGGCCCUUGUGCUUUCGUGUAGGCUGCUAUAACACUCACUCCAGGUGCAGUGAUAUCAGGCUGAAUUAAUGUACAACAACAUUUACUGAAUACUUAACGAAAUCAGCAAAAAUAUGUGGAGUCUGUUUAAUGAACAGAAAUUGUGUUUGCUAAUAAAAAAACCUUAAGGAUGCCUGGUGUAAUGGUGUUGGGUCCCUUUGAUGAAAAUGCUGCCAUGAAUGGAGAUGGCUUUGUUCCCAGUUCCGUUAUUGCACGCUUUAUGUAAGCCCGCGGAGACCUGUCAAAAUAUGCAAGUUUCUCAACUAGUAAUUUUACCAAAAACUUGAUAUUGCUGACACUGCAGUGAAGCACCCUAACAUAUGAAACAGACGCAGUUUAAAACAGGCAAUUUGGAGGUACUUCAUCCAUCUUACUUAGUUGAAUUGAUAUAAGCAAAGACAAGGAUGCCGUCGGUGAAAUUGAUAUGUGAAGCAGGGAGGACAUGUGGAUCAGAAAUAAUUUCGUUCCCGUUAAUAGCAUUGUUAGCAAGAAUCAUUCCCACGGCGCCAGCCAGUAAGGCUUGCUCACCCUUGUCCACUCUUGCGUUGUCCCCUCGCAGGCAGGCCAAGAUCUUUCCCUUCACUUUUUUAGGAUCAAGCGUGCCGGCCUUGCAUAGCAGACUGCAGCAUCAUAUAAGCAGAUUACUAAGAACUUUAAUAUAAUUUUAGUAUAAUGAAAAUCGGAAGAUUGAUGUUGCCUAUCCUUACGCUUCUUUAGCUGAUGCAUUAGCUGCUUUGGCAUCCGCAGCACUAAUAAGUUGGUAAAAUUUCUUGCUCUGCAAGGCACUAGACGAUAAGCUUUGUCCCUUCAGAACAAAGUAGAUAAAAGUUACUAUGGAUUUGAGUAGCUUUGCAGGAUAUAUAACAUAAGUUCCCAUAAAACACCCUAACAUGUCUUAUUUUGUAUACGAUAAAAAGGGACGGCUAAUGAUUUUGGCACUCCUUUUCUGUCUAUCUGCCACUCCGAAUUAAAUAUUUUAUAAUUUAUUGUUUCUGCUCACAGGUGAAGUACAAAGACUAAACGAGGAGUGUUAAAAUCAUUAGUCGGGAAAUGGACUUUAAGUAACCUUGAGGUGCUUCCAGUUGCCGAGGGUGACAUAACUCGGAAACUCCCUAUCCAUAGUACUGGCGCCGACUGUGAUCUGCC
rnacentral:lncRNA from 1 species